UUGGAGGGCAAGUCUGGUGCCAGCAGCCGCGGUAAUUCCAGCUCCAAUAGCGUAUAUUAAAGUUGUUGCAGUUAAAAAGCUCGUAGUUGAAUUUCGGGACCAGAGUGUCGGUCGUGCCUCGGUACGAACUGGUAUUAUUGGUUCCUACCUUCUGAAGAACCGCGAUGUCAUUAAUUUGGUGUCGUGGGGAAUCAGGACUGUUACUUUGAAAAAAUUAGAGUGUUUAAAGCAGGCUUACGCUUGAAUACAUUAGCAUGGAAUAAUGAAAUAGGACGUUUGAUUCUAUUUUGUUGGUUUCUAGGAUUGACGUAAUGAUUAAUAGGGAUAGUUGGGGGCAUUAGUAUUCAAUUGUCAGAGGUGAAAUUCUUGGAUUUAUUGAAGACUAACUACUGCGAAAGCAUUUGCCAAGGAUGUUUUCAUUAAUCAAGAACGAAAGUUAGGGGAUCGAAGACGAUCAGAUACCGUCGUAGUCUUAACCAUAAACUAUGCCGACUAGGGAUCGGAUGAUGUUAAUUUUUUAAUGACUCAUUCGGCGCCUUACGGGAAAC
rnacentral:rRNA from 1 species